rnacentral:tRNA from 3 species
GCAACGGUAGCUCAACUGGAUAGAGCAUCGGUCUUCUAAACCGAGGGUUGAGGGUUCGAGCCCCUCUCGUUGCA